CACGGUAAACGAUGGAUGCCCGCUGUUUGCGAUAUACUGUGAGCGGCCAAGCGAAAGCGUUAAGCAUCCCACCUGGGGAGUACGCCGGCAACGGUGAAACUCAAAGGAAUUGACGGGGGCCCGCACAAGCGGAGGAACAUGUGGUUUAAUUCGAUGAUACGCGAGGAACCUUACCCGGGCUUGAACUGCAGCAGACGGAUACAGAGAUGUUGACUCCCUUCGGGGCUGCUGUGGAGGUGCUGCAUGGUUGUCGUCAGCUCGUGCCGUGAGGUGUCGGCUUAAGUGCCAUAACGAGCGCAACCCCUGCUGUCAGUUGCCAUCAGGUUAUGCUGGGCACUCUGGCAGGACUGCCACCGUAAGGUGUGAGGAAGGUGGGGAUGACGUCAAAUCAGCACGGCCCUUACGUCCGGGGCUACACACGUGUUACAAUGGGUGAUACAGAGAGCAGGUGCAUGGCAAUAUGCAUCGAAUCAUGAAAGUCAUCCUCAGUUCGGAUUGGGGUCUGCAACCCGACC
rnacentral:rRNA from 1 species